rnacentral:rRNA from 1 species
CCCUUAGAUGUUCUGGGCCGCACGCGUGCUACACUGAGUGGAUCAGCGGGUCAGGUUGCGCGAAAGUGUUUCCUAAUCUUUAAAUCCGCUCGUGAUGGGGAUUGACGGUUGCAAUUUUCCGUCAUGAACGAGGAAUACCUUGUAAGCGCGGGUCAUCAUCCCGCGCUGAAUACGUCCCUGCCAUUUGUACACACCGCCCGUCGCUCCUACCGAUUGAGUGGUCCGGUGAGGCUUUGGGAUCUGAGCGGAAAGAGCGUUUCGCUGUUUCUGCCCGGAAAACUCAGUCGAACCUUAUCAUUUAGAGGAAGGAGAAGUCGUAACA